UGCGGGAUAGAGCAGCCCGGUAGCUCGUCAGGCUCAUAACCUGGAGGUCGUCGGUUCAAAUCCGGCUCCCGCAACCA
rnacentral:tRNA from 1 species